GGAGCACAGCACAGCACAGCACAGCACAGCACAGCACAGCACAGCACAGCACAGCACAGCGCAGCACAGCGCAGCGAAAAGGAAGUACUACUGUUUUCCCAGACUAAAAGCAGCCACUUUUAUAUUCCAUGCUACUCCCCCUGACCCCCAGAUGAUAACCCAAGGACCACAAACCAGGCUCAGCUCAGCUCACCACUUACUGACUCGGGAGCGGAGAAGACGAACACACGCUGUCCCCCGAAACGUGUGCUGUCAGCCAACCGCUUCUUUUCACUCUGGAGAUAUUGUAUACUGGAACAGAGAGUUCAAUCGAGGGUUCCGAGGGUACUUGGAGAGCCAGCAAGAUCCUAAUGUGCACACGGUGUACUGUGUCUGAAGAGUUCUUUAAAACAUUGCUGCAUCAAAGCAACAAGUUCAUUGUGAGUUUUGAAAAAGCAAUUGCGUGUAGAUCCUUUUCCAAGAAGUAACACCUGGAAUUGCCUUGAACCCAACAUUGUCCUUCUCAAUUAAGACUUCAUCACACUGCCUUUCAGCAACCCCACUACGUUUCUGUAUUGAUUGUUUCAAUUCAAUUUUCUGUUGGCUUGAAAAACAGCGCCAACAAGAAGAACAAAAGACUAAAGCUCAGUGGGAUGGCUUCUGACACCUGCAAAACAUUCCCCUCCAGGGUAUUAAAGCAUUCUAAAAGCACAGUAAAGAUAUUGGUUAGGGUUACCGCCAGGGUAUUAAAGUAUUCUAAAAUAUAUUGUAAACACAAAAGAAUCAAAGCAUUCUGAAUAUUAUUAUAGUAACCAGAAUCAGUGUACAUUCACCAACAGUUAACAGAUCCACAAUGUAGAACAAAUAUGAAAUAUAUACUAGUAACUGAAUUCAAGUCUUACUAAAUCAAUGAAUGAAUUCAACAAGAAAUGUAGAGAUGUUGGCAAAAAAUACUAGGUCCACGAAGAGGACAUAGCAUAGUUCAUUAGUUUAAGUUUAUAUACAGUUGUAACAAAAUAUCCAAUACACACUUUUUGUAUGACUCUCCCAGAUCACUGGACAGCUUUUCACACCCACACAGCAAGCUGGCUGAGCAGAGAUUGCUUAUUCCAAAGCCAUUGUAAAGCAGUUGAGUGUUAAAGAUUGUGGCUGUAGCAGAGUUGUACCAAUGUUUUACCUGCACAGUGAUCAGUUUGUACACUUCACAGUUUAGGCAAUAAUUGAAAAUAUUGAUGAGACUAAGAGUGUCGUGCUCAGAUGCCCAUGGUGUAAUUUAGUAUGCCUUUACACCAAUGACUUUAUGUUCUUCCUGUAUAUAUUAUAAUGAGGUCUGUUUAUAAUACGAUAUCUACUAUCAAGUCAAUUAAGGGAAAGGAAAAUAAAAAUUGGCCACAGUCAAGUGUGAAAGUUUUAUAGAAUACAGUAGUAGAAAUACCUCAUAAUAUUUCUUGGGGUUGCAUCCAAAAAAGAUUUUAAAAAUACCAAUAGUUUAACGUCUUCUGAGAAGGACUUCACAUUCAUGUACUUUCUAGGAACACAAUUAAACAAAUGUGUGUGUGUGUGAGGUCUGCAGCUUCACAGUUAGGGUUAGCACCAGCAGAAAAAUCUCUCCAGAUAAGAGCCGCCAUGUUUGCUCAGGGCAUGGGACGAGCAUGACCCCUCACAUUCUGAUUCUCAACCACCCUGAUCCUGUCGUAGCAAAGAUAAUAAGGGAGCGUUCUAUUAAAUACAGAAACUAACCCGUGGAAAAAGAUAAAGGCUAUUCCUAAAACGAGAACCCUCCCCUCUGCACACAUUUACUAAAUACUUUCAAUGCAGUGGAACUCCAGAAUGUUACCUUUUGGAAUGCAGGAUCAUUAGAGUGGAAAUGUGCAAUCUGGAGAAACACAGUAAUAAUGUCUCGGUGCAAAAUCAAGUUUUGUUUGGGCAUAAAUCCACAUAGGGAUUACUAGUGCUAUCAGGAGGCAAUUCAUUUACCAG